rfam:halophilic archaeon J07HX5 genomic scaffold scf7180000022092, whole genome shotgun sequence.
CCUGCGUGUGCAGGUCGGAAUGUGACCCUUUCUCAGCCUACGAGGGUUGAACCACUCA